CGUAGCUCAGCUGGAUAGAGUACUCGGCUACGAACCGAGCGGUCGGAGGUUCGAAUCCUACCG
rnacentral:tRNA from 1 species